AGAAUGGUAAGUCUGAUGCA
rnacentral:snRNA from 1 species